AGAGAAUCGCUUGAACCCAGGAGGCAGAGGUUGCGGUGAGCCGAGAUGGUGCCAUUGCAUUCCAGCCUGGGCAACAGAG
rnacentral:snRNA from 1 species